UGGGCUGGAGCCUGCACAGUGGAAAGUGAAGUAGAUCCCAGUGUGCGCGCGCCUACCCCGA
rnacentral:pre_miRNA from 1 species